rnacentral:rRNA from 1 species
CCCUUAGAUGUCCUGGGCCGCACGCGCGUUACACUGAUGCAUUCAACGAGCUUAUAACCUUGGCCGAGAGGCCUGGGCAAUCUUGUUAACGUGCAUCGUGAUAGGGAUAGAUUAUUGAAAUUAUUAAUCUUGAACGAGGAAUUCCUAGUAAACGCAGAUCAUCAAUCUGCAUUGAUUACGUCCCUGCCCUUUGUACACACCGCCCGUCGCACCUACCGAUUGGAUGGUCCGGUGAAGCCUCGGGAUUGUGGUUCUUGCCGCUUUAUUGUGGCGUGACCGCGAGAACUUGACUAAACCUUAUCAUCUAGAGGAAGGUGAAGUCGUAACA